UAGGGAAUCUUCCGCAAUGGACGCAAGUCUGACGGAGCAACGCCGCGUGAGUGAAGAAGGAUUUCGGUUCGUAAAACUCUGUUGUUAGAGAAGAACAGCGCAUAGAGUAACUGUUAUGCGUGUGACGGUAUCUAACCAGAAAGCCACGGCUAACUACGUGCCAGCAGCCGCGGUAAUACGUAGGUGGCAAGCGUUGUCCGGAUUUAUUGGGCGUAAAGCGAGCGCAGGCGGUCAAUUAAGUCUGAUGUGAAAGCCCCCGGCUCAACCGGGGAGGGUCAUUGGAAACUGGUUGAAUUGAGUGCAGAAGAGGAGAGUGGAAUUCCAUGUGUAGCGGUGAGAUGCGUAGAUAGAUGGAGGAACACCAGUGGCGAAGGCGACUCUCUGGUCUGUAACUGACGCGGAGGUUCGAAAGCGUGGGUAGCAAACAGG
rnacentral:rRNA from 1 species